AUACUGAGCUUUGAGGUGGAAGCCCUUCUCGCAUCUCUGGGAACGUGCUGCCUGCGGCCCCGGGUGUAGUGCGCAGCGGAGAACAGCAGAGAGCAGCUUGAGAUCGGAGCUAGGCCGAGGCUGAGCCAGCCUGCUGAGAUCCCUGGAAUCUGGAAGAAAACUGGCUCCUGGCAGAGAGACCGGGGAAGCAGCAUCGGCCAACAUGACAGGCAGGCCCUCCUUCCCUCACCUCCUUCCCUCACCUUCGCUGCCAGUGCGAAGCCCCGUUUCCCGGCCUUCUAUUUUUUUUUUUUUUGAAGAUUUUUAUUUAUUUAUUUAUUUGACAGAGAGACAGCCAGCGAGAGAGGGAACACAAGCACGUUUCCUGGCCUUCUGACCUCAGAGAAGUUGGCUGGGUCUGUGGUGAAACAGCAAAAGUUGGCUGAAAGCGAUGGUUUUUCUGUAACUGGCCUUUGCUAUUAGACCUGCUGUAUACAGCAGGAGAAAUGCCGUCUCACUUGCUUCCAGCAAGCCCCCUCCAGCAUUAAGAGCAUGGGGGGACAUGGCUUUGCAAGUAUUUUCAGGUGAGUGGAAGGGACGGUCGCUCCCCAUAUGGACAACCCAAGGUCCCAAGCAGAUCCCUCUUUUCUAGCGAAUAAUAGGGCAUUACUCUAGCUCAUGGUUGGGGUGAGAGAGGGCUUGGUUGAUGGGGCACAGGGACCUGGAGUCUCACCUUCCCACCCCCAUCAAAGCUUCCCUGUUCUUAGCUUCUUUCUGUUGGGCAAAAGUAGUGGAUUGCAAAGAUUUCUUCCGAAGAGGUGCUAAGAGAUGGUGUAAAUUUAAUUUCUCAUCCCCUACCCCCCACUUCCCCGAAUCACUUAGCUGGCAUCUCACUGGAAGCAAGCUCGUCCCCACCUGUACCCCAAGAAAGGAUCAACUCAAGGGAAUGUGUUUGCUCACAUAAUGGGGCUUUUAGCUAAGUAGGGCUUCUCAGCAUGUGGUCCCAGACCGCCUGCAUCAGAACUCCUUAUAAAAAUAUGGAUUUCCAGCGUGUGGCAGCGUCUGCUGGAAUUAGACACGUACCUACUCAGUAGGCCAUCGACCCCACACCCAAGUACGUGCAAGAGCACGCAAGAGAGGGAUAAGAACAUUUGAGCAGUGCUCCUCAACAGAGCCUCAAGCUGAGUUCAGUCUGGAUGCCCGUCCACAGAAGAGUGGGGGAACACAUUGUCGUUUGUCCGCAUUCAGCAAUAAAAGUGAACCAAUUACCCUUCCAGGUAGCAACGUGGUGGUCCUCUUGCCAACAUGCUGUGGAGCAGGAGAAACUAGACGUGAAAGAGUGAAUCCACCAUGGUUCCCUUUAUAGGAGAUUUGAGAACAGACUCAGCUAAUCCGUGUUGACAGACUAAUGGCUACCUGGGGUGAGGGGAGGGGUUAUUGCUUGGGAAAGGGCAUUUGGAAUGUUGGAACGGUUCUUCAUCUGGAUCUGAAUGGUGGUUAGACUGGUAUAUACAUAUGGGAAAAAGCAUGUAGAUGCAGGUAUAUAUGCUGGUGUAUUACCUAUACAUAGUACGCCGUGUGUAUACUGGGGUAGGUCCGUACUACACAGGCAGAAGUGUGCAUUUAGCUCUGUGCUUACGCUCUACAAACUUCACUAUAUGUUUCAUACACAUGCACACACACGCUUCCCAGCCUGAUUCUAGACCUGCCGAAAUCAGAAUCUCUCAGUAUGGAGCCUGGGAAUCUGCAUUUUGAAUAUUGGCUGGUGCUGAUGCGGAGCAGAGGCUGACAACCAGCACGGCGGGCUGUGUGUCCUGCGAGAGAGGUGGUUGUCAUUUCCACAAAUCACACCAGACCCCAUUUCCCGCUUGAGUGAGAGCAUUAUGAGAUUUUCGCGAGUCGGUCAUUCGGGAAUAAGAUUGGCACAAGACUUCUCACCUGAAGAUCGCGUACUGGGAUCCUGGGAACAAGAUGGUCACAGUCUCCCCCCAAGAAAGAAGCCACACUCUCACGGAAAUAAAGACAGGAAACUCCUGUCCACUCUUCCUUAAAAAUGAAGAAUUAAAACCAACUGUGUCUAUCCUUCUCUUAGUGGGUAAGUACGUAUUUUAAACUUAUAAUCAGUCUGUAGAUGAUUUGGGGUCCUCCCCUUUUCUCUCCACGUGCCACGUAAUCCCCAUGCUCAGCGUUAUGAACAAGAGGAGGCAGGUAGGGCUGUCUUGUUGAUGUAAUCUCACUGGAUCCUUACAACAAUUCUAUGAGCAGACCUGAGAUUCAAAAUGGUCAAUCAACUCGGCAAAGCUUCACAGCAAAUAGGUAGAGUUGCUGGGAUUUCAGACCGAUGUGUCCAACUCCACUAGAAAGCACCGCUGCUUUGUUGGGAAGGGUCGACUGCAGGAUUCUAGGGUUGCUUUUGUUUGUCUUAACUUAGACCCAUAAGAAUUUAUUUUUGUCAUUAAAGGCUAUAAGUAAACAUUCCCUUAGAUAUCUGCAUCCUAUCCAGCAAGUGGAUGGAUAUGCCAUAAUGUAUUUCGUGAUUCCCCUAAUAUUUACUCUGUUUCCGUUUUUGUCAGUGCAGCUGUCUUAAUGGAUGUAUUUUAACAUCAACCACUGUAUUUACCAUUCUUGCUUGGGACAGAUGAUCACCAAUGGAAUAACUAGAACUAAGACUACACACAUUUGUAAGAUGUAGGAACAAUUUUGCCAAACUGCUCUGCAGAAACAUUCUUUUAGCUUGCAUUCCUCUCAACAGUGAGGGAACGCCUGUCUCCUUCCAUCGCUCGUCAACUGCAGGUACCAUAAUGCCAACUUUGCCAAUAUGGCGCUGCAAUUCCAUUUGCACUAGCAAGGUCGAUCAUUUCUAAUAUACUUAUUAUUUUGGCUUUUCCUUAUAUGACUCUCCUGGUCUUUGGGGUGUCAGUGCAAGCUUUUGACAUCUCUCAAGAAGUUGAUACUGUUUCAUAUUCAUUGUAAGUGUUUCAGGGAUUAUUCUUGUCUUCUAACUUCAUUUACAUUGCUUUCUGGUAAAAUGAGUUAAAUCUUUAUGCAGUCAGAUUUAUCAGGAAAUUUCAUCAUGAUUUUUAUUGCUUUUAAGCUAAAACACUCCUGGGAAACCUGUGACCAAAUCGGAGGAGAUGUUCUUUUGUAUUGUGUUCUACCAAUUGAUCAGGAGUGUACGUGUGUGUGUGUGUGUGCGUGUGUGAUAUUUCUAAACCUAUGAUAUGUUUCACAAUUUAAGACUUUUAAAACUGUAAAGCAAUUUUUUACAAUAAAUUAGUUUGGAUCUGAGUGUGUCCAGGAAGAGCCAAGCAAAAAGAGUCUCAUGGCCACAGGUGACCAAAUCCGAAAUGAAGUCUAGAAGGGACUGAAGUGCUCAGGAGAGCUGACUCUUUUCUUCAGAGAUACUGGGAGUUGCUGUGAACUCAGAAGGCACUCUAUUGCACUUGGAAAAUUUUGAAUUUUUUCAAAAUUAUUUCGGUGCCUAAUUUUUGCUUGAAAAAAAAAGAAAAUUGUUUUAACCUAAAACCGAUUUGAAAAGAAUCAACAUCUGUACUCUAGCUACCAUGUGCACAGGCUGUCUCUCCAAAGGUCGAAUCUUCUGGAAUAUCCUUCAGUAAAGGUUGGUGAUUGUAUUCAUUAACCUACCUCGCCUCUCUUGCUAAAUUUAUUCCCAAGUACUUCAUGGUUCUUGUUGCUGUCGUGAAGGGAUCUCUGUUUUUCAGUAUGACUGCUGCUUCCUGUUGUUGUUCACCAGGAACAUGACUGAAUUUUGGAUAUGCACCAAAAUUUUUGUUGAAUGACUUUGGUUUGUUGUUUUUUUUUUUAACAAAAGUCUUUGUUAAAUAACUAACGACUCUGCUCCCAUACUAAUUUUAAUUUCUGUUUUCUUAGGUUCUCUAGGCAUGUGAUGGGGACUUCCAGGGACUCUGGCAUGUGUUGCCUCCUCUUUUUCGGUGGCUAUAAUCCUGAUUUAUGUCUCCUGGAAGGAAAGUUCUUAAAAAACAUUAACCUUCAGAGUCAGAUAAAUCCAGACUGUUAGCAGCAUACUUGGGCAAGCCACUUAACCUCUCUGUGCCUCAGUUUCCUCUUUGGUAGCCUGGGCCCAUCACAGACUCUUCCUCAUUGGGUAAUUGCGAGGAUAAAAUAAUGCCUACUUUUAGCACAGUGUCUGUCUCAAAGCUCAGCACAUGUUAGAUAAAGCAUAAUUGUUACUAUAUUUUAAGAUGGACUUAAAGAAAAACGACAGAGAAGAGACACCCAGGUUGUUAGUACCACGCUGAGUGGCAAGAGCAGGCAUAAAUUGAUGUAUGAUAAAUGCUCUGUUUCCUUUCCAAGCAUCUUCUUAAUUGACCAACAGCCUCAGGGAAGUGUAAUGGCCAUUCCACAUCACAUAAGUCACUUGGAGGGAAGUGGGACUCAAGCCCAGCCUGCCUCUCUGCAGAGCCUGUGCUCAUCUCUGUUGGUCCAUCCUGGGGGGAGCAUCAGACAUUCAUUCUGCCCAGGGGCUCUCAUCUUUGGGCAAACAUCUGGAACAUCUGAGGAUUGCUAGCAAUGCAUCCACGCCUGGCUCUUCAAGGGUGACUCUGACAUUGCUAUCUUUUCAAGGCUCCCUAGGUGAUUGUAACGUCCAGGGUUGAGAACCACUGAUGGCCCCAGUGUGGUCUCUAUAACAUUGACAUUUCAGACAGUGAUCAUGGAAGUCUGGAAGUCUGGCCCCACAUUCCAGAUGAGUUCAAGUGCAUCCUCCCUUCCUUUGCCACAAAUUAAUUCAUCCUUGCUGCCUGUGAUGAUUGAUUUCAUGCACUAACUUAGCUGGGCCACAGUGCCCGGAUAUGUGGUCAAACAUUAUCCUGGAUGUUUCCAUGAAGGUGUUUUCUGGAUGAGAUUAACAUUUAAGUCAGUAGACCUUGAGUAAAGCAGAUUGCCCUCUGCAAUGCAGCUGGGUCUCAUCUAAUCAGUUGAUGGCUUUCAGAGGAAAAAGACUGGCCUCCUCUGAGCAAGAAGGAACUCUGCUGCAGAAAGCCUUUGGACUUGGUCUGCAACUCUUCUCUGGGUCUGCAGCCUGCUGGUCUGCCUUCCAGAUUUUGGACUUGUGCCUCCACAGAUGAUAUGAGCCAAUCCCUUAAUACACACACACACACACACACACACACACAUAUACAACACUCUACUGGUUCCGUUUUUCUGGAGAACGCCAACGAAUCACUACCAUAAUGGAAAUUGACCUCUUGUUCAACCCAAUCACAACUAAAGCACCCUCCUUUCAUUUUUUUCUUUGGAAAACCAUGACUAGAGAAUGGGUGAUACAGAGGCAUGGAUUUUCAGUCUAGGGAAGAAUAACACAGACCCCUCAGUCCAACUGAAACAGGCACAAAGGUAGAAAUACCUCUGGGGUGACUUUGUCCCUCAGGAGACAUUCGGCAAUGCCUAGAAACCUCUUUGCUGUUGUCACGAGGGGUGGGGGAUGGGGGUGCGAGGGUGCUACUGGCAUCACGUGGGCUGGGGGCCCAGGAUGAACAAAACAUCCUGACGCGCACAGAAUGAUCAUUAAAAUGCAAUCGCACCCAGGUUGCGAAACCCGGGUUAGGAUGGGGAAGUAGUUAGUCGUUGAGGAAAUUAACUUCUCACCCCGUGAAAGGAGGGGGUUGCUGUCAAAUCAGGAAGGAGCUCUGAAGAGGCCACAGGAAUCUAACAGGCGGCCUGGACAAACAGGCGGGGCCGAUAUCUCCGAAAAGGCCAAGCGGCUUCAGGAAAACUCUUGCGAGACCAGCCCGAGCGUGGCGGGAGGACUGGGAGUCCAGCCAGUGGGAACCUCGCAGGCAUGAUAUGGCUCGAAUUAGGCUCCUAAGCGGCCAAGAGCUCGGAAGCUCUCCCAGAGGAGUCAGGACUGAACACGAGACCAGAGGUGGAACAAGGAAACCCAGUCCAAAAAUCUGAAAAAUAAACCAUGAAGUGCAGUGGAAAGGACUCCGCAGAUUCCAAAGAAAGUGAUCUGGCGAGAAUGAAAUUGGUCUAUGAGGUGGUGACACUGUUAUGCCCAUGCUACAGAGGAGGACACUGUGCCACAGAGAGGCCGAGGGACUGGCACAAGGGCUCGCAGGUCCUAAGUGGCUGAGCGGAAGCUUGAACCCAGGCCGGCGCCACCCACUGAGCUGUGGCAACGUGAAGGGACAGGUCCUAUCACCGUCAGCAAGCUUUCCCAGAAAGUAGAGCUGUUCAUUUUGUCACCCUGAAAAGCGCUGGGAAUUUGAAACCGCUUAUCUGCCUGAAGGAAGGUAGCGCGGUUAACUCGGAGGCCACUCUCCAAGGAGCCGGAGCUCCGGCCUGGAGCUUGAGCGAGUCUGCUCUCAGGUGCGUGACUUUGGGCAAGUCACUGCUCCCCUCUGGGUCGGUUCAGCGCCAGCCAGGGAGAGAAGUUAUGGACAGCCACUUCCACCAAUAAGAGGAACUCUUCAGGCCAAGCACCGCCUCCAUCCAGGCUGCGGGACCAAAAGGGAAAGUGAAGUCUGCACAUGUCCAGUUUAAGCAUCUGGGACAGCCCCUGGUGCAGGACCGGAACCCAGGGCAGCCUCGGGCCGUGGGUCUCCUUCCACCCCUGGGAUCUGCAUCUGCUCUGGCUUCUGGCCUCUGAGCUCAGAUUCAGCAGGGCUUGGAUCAGGGAGGUUGAGGCAGGACAGGUGUGCAGGGACGGCUCGGACAGGGGCUCAAGUCCACCCUCGAGUCUGCUGCUGGCCUGUGGACACGCUGUGCUCAGCCGGCAGGGCCUUUAACGCUUGCUGACUCUGGGAGCCUUCUUGGCACAGGGGCGUCCCAUACACCAGACACAACCCCCCCAAACACACACACGCUUCACACUCAACUGUAGUUGCAUAUUGGUGUUGACCUCCUGGGUCCUGGGGCCUAUGAGUUUUCAACCCCAAUGGGAAGCACGGAACAAUUUAAGAGAAGGAGGGUGGAGGCAGAUCACUUGAUUCAAUUUGAGCUUUAGUGAGAACAGGUGAGACCCCCUGCUAGUGAUGAGGAAGCCAGGGAGAAUACACGGAGGAGCCGGAGCUGGGGGCGGGUAGGAAAUGAGGAUGAGCGUGAAACAAAGUCCCUAUCGGGUCGGCCCAGUGUGGUCCCCAAGACACGGGGAGGCAGCUGGCCUGUCCCCUUCCCCGCCCCUUCCCAUACCUUCAGAGCCAGCCAUGCUCAACCAUUCUGCUCUCCCACCUUCCCCGGGGCAUCGACGCCUGUGGGUCUUGGCUCGUGCUCUCCCACCCCGCACCCCUUCUCUACCU